CCUACGGGGGGCUGCAGUGGGGAAUAUUGCACAAUGGGCGCAAGCCUGAUGCAGCCAUGCCGCGUGUGUGAAGAAGGCCUUCGGGUUGUAAAGCACUUUCAGCGGGGAGGAAGGCGUUAAGGUUAAUAACCUUGUCGAUUGACGUUACCCGCAGAAGAAGCACCGGCUAACUCCGUGCCAGCAGCCGCGGUAAUACGGAGGGUGCAAGCGUUAAUCGGAAUUACUGGGCGUAAAGCGCACGCAGGCGGUCUGUCAAGUCGGAUGUGAAAUCCCCGGGCUCAACCUGGGAACUGCAUUCGAAACUGGCAGGCUAGAGUCUUGUAGAGGGGGGUAGAAUUCCAGGUGUAGCGGUGAAAUGCGUAGAGAUCGGGAGGAAUACCGGUGGCGAAGGCGGCCCCCUGGACAAAGACUGACGCUCAGGUGCGAAAGCGUGGGGAGCAAACAGGAUUAGAUACCCGAGUAGUC
rnacentral:rRNA from 1 species